rnacentral:lncRNA from 1 species
UGAGCACGGUUCAACGAUCAUCACUGUUGAGAGAUAUGGUAGAGAAGAUCUUUUCUGAUUGCUCGCAGCUGCACAUACGUCCGGUCUCUAUGAAAAAUCCACUUGAAGCCCUGAUCUGACGGAUCUUCUCGGGAGUGCUAGCUCGCAUGAAGAUCUUCUUCUUGACUGAUUUGAAUUUUUUUUUUAAAAUCUCUAGAAUCUUUUUAGAGCUCAAAGAUGGACUUAUAGAGGAGAUGAAGAGGUAAAAGAAAGA